rnacentral:rRNA from 1 species
GUAGGUGGCAAGCGUUGUCCGGAAUUAUUGGGCGUAAAGCGCGCGCAGGCGGUUUUUUAAGUCUGAUGUGAAGGCCCACGGCUCAACCGUGGAGGGUCAUUGGAAACUGGAGAACUUGAGUGCAGAAGAGGAGAACGGAAUUCCACGUGUAGCGGUGAAAUGCGUAGAGAUGUGGAGGAACACCAGUGGCGAAGGCGGCUCUCUGGUCUGUAACUGACGCUGAGGCGCGAAAGCGUGGGGAGCAAACAGGAUUAGAUACCCUGGUAGUCCACGCCGUAAACGAUGAGUGCUAAGUGUUAGAGGGUUUCCGCCCUUUAGUGCUGCAGCAAACGCAUUAAGCACUCCGCCUGGGAGUACGGUCGCAAGACUG